UACGUAGGCAGCGAGCGUUGUUCGGAGUUACUGGGCGUAAAGCGUGCGUAGGCGGUUGUCUAAGUUUGGUGUGAAAUCUCCCGCUUAACUGGGAGGGUGCGCCGAAAACUGGGUGACUGGAGUGUCGGAGAGGUAAGCGGAAUUCCUGGUGUAGCGGUGAAAUGCGUAGAGAUCAGGAGGAACACCUGUGGUGUAGACAGCUUACUGGACGAUAACUGACGCUGAGGAGCGAAAGCGUGGGGAGCGAACAGG
rnacentral:rRNA from 1 species